ACCCGCUGAACUUAAGCAUAUCAAUAAGCGGAGGAAAAGAAACCAACAGGGAUUGCCCUAGUAACGGCGAGUGAAGCGGCAACAGCUCAAAUUUGAAAUCUGGCUCUUUUAGAGUCCGAGUUGUAAUUUGCAGAGGGCGCUUUGGCUUUGGCAGCGGUCCAAGUUCCUUGGAACAGGACGUCACAGAGGGUGAGAAUCCCGUACGUGGUCGCUGGCUAUUGCCGUGUAAAGCCCCUUCGACGAGUCGAGUUGUUUGGGAAUGCAGCUCUAAAUGGGAGGUACAUUUCUUCUAAAGCUAAAUAUUGGCCAGAGACCGAUAGCGCACAAGUAGAGUGAUCGAAAGAUGAAAAGCACUUUGGAAAGAGAGUCAAACAGCACGUGAAAUUGUUGAAAGGGAAGCGCUUGCAGCCAGACUUGCUUGCAGUUGCUCAUCCGGGCUUUUGCCCGGUGCACUCUUCUGUAGGCAGGCCAGCAUCAGUUUGGGCGGUAGGAUAAAGGUCUCUGUCACGUACCUCUCUUCGGGGAGGCCUUAUAGGGGGGACGACAUACUACCAGCCUGGACUGAGGUCCGCGCAUCUGCUAGGAUGCUGGCGUAAUGGCUGU
rnacentral:rRNA from 1 species